rnacentral:lncRNA from 1 species
GGGGCGAAAGAUACCAGAGGGACAGUCAUAUAUCGAUUUCAUGAUGAAGAGAACGAACACAGCUGACCAUGAGCAGAAACUAAGAGCUCAAAUGUCGUUUAGCUUCUGUGAUAGAAGAGUUAGGAAAUCAAUUUCUUGAAGACAGCAACGAACUGCUUGUUCUGUAUACCAAUUAAAGAUAUAGCUCCCUCAGCAGUUGUUGAUACUAUUCG